rnacentral:tRNA from 1 species
GCGGGCGUGGCGAAAUUGGCAGACGCGCUAGGUUUAGGUCCUAGUGCCGAAAGGCUUGGGAGUUCGAGUCUCCCCGCCCGCACCA